UCCAGCUUCCAAUAGCGUAUAUUAAAGUUGUUGCAGUUAAAAAGCUCGUAGUUGGAUUUCGGAGCAUUCACGAUGCUGACCGCUGAAACGGCGUGUUCGGCGCGUGGAUCUCCUCUUCUUGGGGAUACAAGUGGGUGGCGGGUCAAACCGUCAUUCGCUCCCCAUCGUUUACUUUGAGAAAAUUGGAGUGCUCAAAGCAGGCACAACCCUGCCUUGAACAAUGCAGCAUGGGAUAAUAGAACAGGACGAAGGUCCUAUUUUGUUGGUUUCUAGGGCUUUUGUAAUGAUUAAAAGGGACAGUUGGGGGCAUUCGUAUUCAAUUGUCAGAGGUGAAAUUCUAGGAUUAAUUGAAGACGAACUACUGCGAAAGCAUUUGCCAAGGAUGUUUUCAUUAAUCAAGAACGAAAGUAGGGGGAUCGAAGAUGAUCAGAUACCGUCGUAGUCUCUACCAUAAACGAUGCCGACCAGGGAUCCGGAGAAGUUACGUGGAUGACUCCCCGGGCACCUUGUGAGAAAUCAUAAGUCGCUGGGUUCUGGGGGGAGUAGGUCGCAAGGCUGAAACUUAAAGGAAUGACGGAAGGGCACCACCAGGCCUAACU
rnacentral:rRNA from 1 species